rnacentral:rRNA from 1 species
UGGGGAAUAUUGGACAAUGGGCGCAAGCCUGAUCCAGCGAUGCCGCGUGUGUGAAGAAGGCCUGCGGGUUGUAAAGCACUUUUAGCGAGGACGAGGUUUUAGGGGGUUAAUAGGUCUCUAAGAUGACGGUACUCGCAGAAAAAGCACCGGCUAACUCUGUGCCAGCAGCCGCGGUAAUACAGAGGGUGCAAGCGUUAAUCGGAAUUACUGGGCGUAAAGCGCGCGUAGGUGGUUAGUUAAGUUGGAUGUGAAAUCCCCGGGCUCAACCUGGGAACUGCAUUCAAAACUGACUGACUAGAGUAUGGUAGAGGGUGGUGGAAUUUCCUGUGUAGCGGUGAAAUGCGUAGAUAUAGGAAGGAACACCAGUGGCGAAGGCGACCACCUGGACUGAUACUGACACUGAGGUGCGAAAGCGUGGGGAGCAAACAGGAUUAGAUACCCCCGUAGUCCCUGAGCGGGCUGGCAAGGCGCAU